ACAGUCUCAGUUCGGAUUGAAGGCUGAAAUUCGCCUUCAUGAAGCCGGAAUUGCUAGUAAUGGCAGGUCAGCAUACUGCCGUGAAUACGUUCCCGGGCCUUGUACACACCGCCCGUCACACCAUGAGAGUUGGGGAUACCCGAAGCCUGUGAGCUAACAGUAAUGGAGCGGCAGUCGAAGGUAGAAUCAAUGAUUGGGGUGAAGUCGUAACAAGGUAAC
rnacentral:rRNA from 1 species